GACGAACGCUGGCGGCGUGCUUAACACAUGCAAGUCGAACGGGAAGGCCCUGCUUUGUUGGGGUGCUCUGCGUACGAACGGGGGAGUAACACGUGAGUAACCUGCCCUUGACUUUGGGAUAACUUCAUGAAACUUGGUCUAAUACCGGAUAGGAUCUCCUGCUUCAUGGUGGGGGUUGGAAAGUUUCGGCGGUUGGGGAUGUACUCGCGGCUUAUCAGCUUGUUGGUGGGGUAGUGGCUUACCAAGGCUUGGCCGGGUAGCCGGCCUGAGCGGGUGACCGGCCAAAUUGGGACUGAGCUAAGGCCCAGACUACUACGGGAGGCAGCGGUGGGGAAGAUUGCACAAUGGGCGGAAGGCUGAUGCAGUCAAGCAGUGUGCGGGAUGACGGCAUUCGGGUAGUAAACCGAUUCCGUCUGUGACGAAGCGUGAGUGACGGUAAUGGGUAAAGAAGCACCGGCUAACUCCGUG
rnacentral:rRNA from 1 species